rnacentral:tRNA from 1 species
GGUUAUGGCUCAGUGGUAGAGCACUUGCCUCGCACAUGCAAGGCUCUGGGUUCAAUCCUCAGCACCA